GACGAACGCUGGCGGCGUGCUUAACACAUGCAAGUCGAACGAAGUGGCGAACGGGUGAGUAACGCGUAAUCAACCUGCCCUUCAGAGGGGGACAACAGUUGGAAACGACUGCUAAUACCGCAUACUGAAGGAGGGGAUUGCGUCUGAUUAGCUAGUUGGAGGGGUAACGGCCCACCAAGGGGAGGAUCAGUAGCCGGUCCUGAGGGAGGAACGGCCACAUUUGGAAUGAGACAAGGCCCAGACUCCUACGGGAGGCAGCAGUGGGGAAUCUUCGGAAAUGGACGAAAGUCUGACGGAGGAACGCCGGGUGAGUGAUGACGGGCUUCGGGUUGUAAAGCUCUGUUAAUCGGGACGCGGUACCGGAAGAGAAAGCCACGGCUAACUACGUGCCAGCAGCCGCGGUAAUAC
rnacentral:rRNA from 1 species